rnacentral:lncRNA from 1 species
AUGAGGAGCAGCAGGAAAGGUCGUGGCCUGGUGUUGAGGGGUUCACUGUUUCAUCUCAUUCCUGUGGGUGCCAGAACUUAUCCAAAGGGAAGACUCAGUGUCUCUAGCAAUAGCAGGUCAGAGACAGAAAGUGUCCCAGAGAAGCAGGAAGGAUUGUACACCAUGGACACGGUGUAUGGUUUUAUAGUAGUGCCUCUCUCUCUCUCCCUCCCUCUCUCUCCCUCCCUCCCUCCCUCCCUCCCUCUCUCUCUCUCUCUCUCUACCCCCCCCACCCUCUUUCCCCUAGAUUUCGUGUUCCUGUUAAUGGAAAAUAUCGGUGGUGUAAGUUCCCCUGGAUCUCCUCAUCUUCAUAGGAAAUUGGUAUUUCUAUUCUAAAGUUUUCUGAAAGUCAGCAGUGAGCUUCUGGAGGGUGAGUUACCUGCUCUGCACAGGGAGGCUGAGGCCAAGGCUUGUGUGUGGGCUCUGCUGUCACCAAGAGGUGAGGGUGCCUGGGAGAGUCUUAGUCUUUCUGGGUUUCAGGUUCCUCAUGGGUAAAGUAGGGGCUUAUUGUACCUCUCUGAGGUCCCUUCCUACUCUGUUUCUCUGAGUCUCCGAGGAAUUGAGAUGGUUUUCAGUGCUCCCUGGGACCGUCGGCCGAGACCUGACUGUGUGUGUCUCCUGCAGGAGCCUCAGCUGAGUCUACAUCCUGAAAUCCCAGAGCUGAGGAAAGAAAGAAAGUCAGCAAGUUUAGGGGAUGAGAAUAAUCCAAAAAGGAUAAGCCAUUGAUAGAUGAAAACCAAAGAAGGGGAGAAUAAGGACAAACUGGGACAGAAGCCUCAGGGGAAAUGGGCAAUGCCUAUGAUCACUUAAAUUCUCAGGAAGCAGCAUGAGCUGAGCAGUGGGGACUGAGAGAGAAACUACUCCACAGGAAUCUCCUGCCUCUGGCCAGGGAGAGCCAUAGGGUAGAUCAGAGCUGGUUUAUAGUGAGGGGCAGCUUCAACUCCAGGAGGGGGAGGAUGCGACCGUGCGCCCCCCUCCCUCAGACCCAGGAGCCUCGACCUCGGGGCUGCCGUAGCAGUGGAUGCUCUUCAGGUCACUGUGGGUUCGAGGGAAUAACCGUGCUUACAGAAGGGUUGGAGGUGUUCAUUCUUACACCGAACAGCUCUGCCCUAGGUCAGGUGCCAGAGUAA